rnacentral:misc_RNA from 1 species
GAUGAAGAACGUAGCGAAAUGCGAUAAGUAGUGUGAAUUGCAGAAUUCAGUGAAUCAUCGAAUCUUUGAACGCACAUUGCGCCCCUUGGUAUUCCAUGGGGCAUGCCUGUUCGAGCGUCAUUUGUACCUUCAAGCUUUGCUUGGUGUUGGGUGUUUGUCCUGAGGGACUCGCCUUAAAGUAAUUGGCAGCCAGUGUUUUGGUUUUGAAGCGCAGCACAAGUCGCGAUUCAAAGCUAUACGCCAGCUUCCACAAGCCUUUUUCACUUUUGACCUCGGAUCAGGUAGGGAUACCCGCUGAACUUAAGCAUAUCAAUAAGCGGAGG